ACAAAUAAUAUCCAAUACCAACCUCUUGUGCACUGUUGACGUAUGCUUUGGUAGGGAGUGAAAUGGUUCGUUAGGACCUUUCGAUCUGCCAGAGUUUAUUCAAUACUAAACAAACGAAUGUCUUAUCUAAUUGACUGAAAUUCAUUUUACAAAUGAAAAUA
rnacentral:misc_RNA from 1 species